rnacentral:misc_RNA from 1 species
UUUGUUCAUCGUCAUAUAAUGUUGUGUGUAAUAAAGUUUUAUGUUUUAUCUAUUAGUUUGUUGUUAGCUUGUUAUGGAAUCUGGUUUACAAUGUCGUUGAAUAACUGCAACCUUAUGUAAUCUUGUAGUUGUACUGCUCUGGAUUAAGUCUCGAGUUCAAAAUUUACUGAUUGAUAUACAGUUACAAAGCGCAAAAUGUCCAAGAACAAAUAGUGAUGCAUUUUAUAUAUAUUAAUUCGUAUUUGCCAUUUUAGUUUUGCCAUUGAAUAUGCUCUUAGGUAUUUAGUUGGCAUUUUAAUGAGCAAAAACAGCGUUAUCAAUCACAAGGAUGCACUAAGUUUCAAGUAUUAAAAUUUAGCAUCACCAUGUACCAUGAAUCAGUGGUUCUUUUUAUUGCAUAACUUGUCCCAAGAGCUUGAUAAUUUUUACUAAACGUGUUGAAUUUUUGUAUUCUUGUGACUGACAGUUUAAACAUGUUGAACAAUGAUGUUCAGGG